GGUUGGUCUGAGUGCAGUGGUGUUUACAACUAAUUGAUCACAACCAGUUACAGAUUCCUUUUUUCCUUUUCCGCUCCCACUGCUUCACUUGACCAACCAAUC
rnacentral:Y_RNA from 1 species